UACACUACCACAAAAUAGACCUUUAGCGACAAUUUUGUAGGGGAAAUAAAAUAAUUGCCGCUAAAGUAUUCACGGAAUACAAUCUUUAGAGGCAUAUGACCAUUUGUUGGGAAAGGCAAAAAUAAAUUAGUCAAACCUGGUCUCAAGAGUUUUACGGACAAUUCAAAGUUAUUAAUCGCUAUUAAAAGUUAGUAAUUUUCGAUCUGUUCUCCCUCCACAAAAUUUCCUUGAAAAAUUUUUCCCUCUUCCUCGAUAUAUUCACCCACACUGAGUAUAGCAGACCUCUUUUCCUCAUAUGUCGCUGCCGCCGAAUCUCACUCUCAACAUCACCAGCCACCAUUACUGAUAACGCCGCAGGUACAUGCGUUCUAUAUUUCGCCUUCUCCUCACUCAAUUUGAUUACUCUCAUGUUCUUGAAAAUAGAUAAGUACAUAAUUUUGGAGGACAAAAUAUGCGAAUCAGAGUUGGUAGUAGAUUGGUCACUGAAAAAUAUCACGAUGAAGAAGUACAGUCCUAUAUUCAACAAUUAAUGCAUGCUCAGAACUGCUCUCCAGCCCAAACUUACGAUAAUCAAUCUAAUAUUUUGAACAAUUCCGUUGGCACUGGAGCUAAGCAUAACAAUGAAUUAGGUUCUAUUUUGAAGUUUUAGUAUUGAGUCCACUAUUUUUUUUAGUAUUGCUUUGCACUAAUUGUAGGUUCUGCUAAAACAAGGAGUUGAUUCUCCAGCUCACGACUAUUUUCUUUGUGAAUUUGCUUGCACUAGAUCAUGGACCUUUGAAUCUGUUUCAGGUCCUUCAGAGGUAAGAAAAGUUCGUGGGCCUACACUACUAAAAGAUGUUUGGAAUCUACCAUGAGGGAAGAUAAUUAUUGUUCAGUUUAAUAGUCGUAAUCAAGCUAUUGGAAAAAAGGGUCGAAAGCUUGUUAGAUUUCUAUGUAUCAUUGCUAGAACCCAAGAACUGACACUGUUAAAUAUAAAUGAUUGGCGAGUAUUUGACAAAGAAAAAAUUGGUGGAGUUUGUGAGGGUAUGAAAUUAUUAUUCUUAAUAUGUAUCAUUCUUUUUAUACAUGAUAUUGUCUUGUAAACUCGUGCUUUAUUUUUUUUAGAAAAAGUUCUCGAUUACAGUACGUGGAGAAGAGUUUGUAAAAAAGUCAGUAGGAAAAAAUGGAAGGACUAUAAAUGUGAUUUGAAGACUAUGUAUGUGACCAAGUAUAAGAGCAAAGAUGCCUUGAUGAAAUAUAGACCAAGUCACAUACCAAGGGAUCAAUGGACUAGUCUCGUCUUGCAUUGGCUUACUGACAAAGCAAAGCUCAAUCAAGCAAAUAGAAUUAGCAGGGCUAAACAAAAGAUGCCUCACACUGGAGGAUCCAAAAGCAUAGCAACCUUGAUGAAUGAAAAAGGCUAUAGAUGGAAUAGAGCCUACACGUGCUCCGAUUUACAUAUUAACUCAUACAAAGCGUAAGGAUGGCAGACCAUUGGAUGAGAAAUCUUCAAAUACAGUUGACAUGAUAAAAGAGAAAUGAUAAAUGAAAGGACGAACAAUAGUGAGAGCUCUACUGACCAACCUCCUCGCAGUGUUGCUUGGGAAGGUGAUGUGUAUUCACAGGUGUUCGGAUAUGGGGUAGUAGAUCUUCCUUAGAAAAUAUUGUUGUAGAGGAUUCGUCUAAUGAAGUUGUACAAAGAUUAACACAAGAGAUAACCGAGUUAAAGGAUAAACACAAUGAAGAAAUGAAUCUGAUGAGACAAAAUCAGGAGAAGAUGCAAUUAGAAUUACUCCAAAUGAGACAACUCAUGCACAAAUAUGCUUCUAAUGAAUCUAUGCCUCAAAAUAUUAAUGGCGCAUCAGUUGAAUAGGUCCUUGACGCCAAUAGUGGCCAUGAGCGAGUACCACAAACAUCAAGGAUACCUAGUGCUGCUAAAAAUAAUUCACUGUCUCAUGGUCAUACAGUCUGAUGUUCGAUAAUUUAGCAGGUGGAAGAUUUCAAUAUGACGAAGAGUUGCAGAAAUUAUUUGAAGAUUGUUAUUCGUUAAGAUUAGUUAUAUAAUAACAUUAGCUAUUUAGUUCAAACAAGUUAAGUUUAUUUUUUAAGUUACUGUGAUAUUAAUAUUUUGGAAGUACUUCCUUUUGUUUGUUAAGAUUUAACGAGAUAUAUUAUGGUUUGAUGAAUUAAUAUUGAUAUGUUUUGUUAUUUGCA